CUAACUCUAAUAGUUUAUAAAAACAUUGGUCUUGU
rnacentral:tRNA from 2 species